rnacentral:rRNA from 2 species
CGACUCUCACCCUAGCACGCUUUACUUUGGAUUUCCGAUGGGAUCCGGUGCUUUAGUGAUGGUAUGAUCGCAUCCGACAUGCUACUAUCUAUUGGUUCCUUAUGCUUGCGCCUCCCAUGUCCAUUGCCACGUUUGCCUCGACAACGGAGACAAGUUUAACACAAGAAUUUCACCCCUCCCUCUCUACCUCAACAACACAAGCACCACCACGACCUCUCUCGCUUUUCCGACCGCGCUUGACACCCAACGACACCGCCCAUAGAUGUCUGAACAAUGAGCCGCAAACUAAAACAUAUCACAAAUGUCAAAAAUAAGAAAACGGGUUUAAUAUAGAUCACUCACCCGCGUCAUCCUUGUCACGUGGCGCAAAAAUAUUUAAAAGGGGAAUCCUAAAAGAGGACUUCCCAGGAGGUCACCCAUCCUAGUACUACUCUCGCCCAAGCACGCUUAACUCCCGUAUUCUUAUGGACUUCUGUGAAGGGUUUGAUUUGAGCACACGUGUCGGGAACAGAAAGAUGGUGAACUAUGCGUGAGCGGGGUGAAGCGGGAGGAAACUCUGGUGGAGGCUCGAAACGAUACUUACGUGCAAAUCGUUUGUCUGACUUGGGUAUAGGGGCGAAAGACUAAUCGAACCAUCUAGUAGUUGGUUCCCUCCGAACUUUCCCUCGGGAUAGCUGGAGCCCAUUAUGCGUUCUAUCAGGUAAAGCCAAUGAUUAGAGGCAUUGGGGACACAACGUCCUCGACCUAUUCUCAAACUUUAAAUAGGUAGGAUGGCUCGGCUGCUUCGAUGAGUCGUGCUACGGAAUCAGGUUCUCCAAGUGGGCCAUUUUUGUUAAGCAGAACUGGCGAUGGGGGAUGAACCGGAAGUCGUGUUACGGUGCCCAACUGUGCGCUAACCUAGAACCCAAAAAGGGUGUUGGUCGAUUAAGACAGUAGCAUGGUGUUCAUGGAAGUCGAAAUCCGCUAAGGAGUCUGUAACUACUCACCUGGCGAAUCAACUAGCCCAGAAAAUGGAUGGCGCUGAAGCGCGCGACCCACAGUCGGCCAUCUGGGCGAGUGCCAUGCCCCAAUGAGUAGGAGGGCGAGGCGGCCUCUUCAAAACCUGGGGUGCGAGCCCGGGGGGAGCAGCUGUCGGUGCAAAUCUUGGUGGUAGUAGCAAAUAUUCAAAUGAGAACUUUGAAUGCCGAAGAGGAGAAAUUUUCCAUUAGAACGACACUUGCACAUGGGUAAGCCAAUCCUAAGGGACGUGGUAACCCCGGCAGAUAGCGAAAUCACGCCCAUCCCCCGAAAGGGAAUCGGGUUAAGAUUUCCUGAACCGGUAUGUGGCGGUUGAUGGCGACGUUAGGAAUUCCGGAGACGUCGGAGGGGGCCUCGGGGAGAGUUAUCUUUUCUGCUUAAUGACCUGCCAACCUUACAAACGGUUCAGACGGAGGUAGGGUCCAGUGGCCGGAAGAGCAUCACACGUCGUGCGGUGUCCGGUGCGCCCCGAGUGGCCUAUGAAAAUCCGGAGGACCGAGUACCGUACAAGCCCCGAUCGUACUCAUAACCGCAUUAGGUCUCCAAGGUGAACAUCCUCUGGCCAAUGGAACAAUGUAGGCAAGGGAAGUUAGCAAAACGGAGCCGUAACUUCAGGAAAAGGAUUGGCUCUCAGGACUGGGCUCGGGGGUCCCGGCCCCGAACCCAUUGGCUGUUGACGGAUUGCUUGAGUUGCUCAUGCGGCGAGAGCGGGUCGCCGCGUGUCGGCCGGGGGCUUUCCCUGAGCAUGAAUCAGUAGACUCUGAACUGGUACGAACAAGGGGAAUCUGACUAUUUAAUUAAAACAAAGAAUUGCAAUGGUCCUCGCGGAUGCCGACGCAAUGUGAUUUCUACCCAUUGCCCUGAAUGUCAAAGUGAAGAAAUUAAACCAAGAGCAGGUAAACGGCGGGAGUAACUAUGAUUCUCUUAAGGUAGCCAAAUGCCUCGUCAUCUAUUAAGUGACUCAUAUGAAUGGAUUAACGAGAUUCCCAUUGUCCAUGUCUACUAUCCAGCGAAACCAUAACCAAGGGAACGGGCUUCGCGGAAUCAGCGGGGAAAGAAGACCUUGUUUAGAUUAACUCUAGUCCAACUUUGUGAAAUGACUUGAGAGGUGUAUGAUAAGUGGGAGACCUUACGGGCGCAAGUGAAAUACCACUACUUUUAACGUUAUUUUACUUAUUCCGUGGGUCGGAAGCGGGGACUGUCCCCUCCUUUUGGCUCCGAAGCCCAAAUUUAUUGGGCCGAUUCAGGUGGAAGACAUUGUCAGGUGGGGAGUUUGGCUUGGGUGGCACAUCCGUUAAAAGAUAAUGCAUGUGUCCUAAGAUGAGCUCAACGAGAACAUAAAUCUCGUGUGGAACAAAAGGGUAAAAGCUCGUUUUAUUUUGAUAUCCAAUAUGAAUACAAACCGUGAAAGCGUGGCCUAUCGAUCCUUUAGAUCUUCAGAGUUUGAAGCUAGAGGUGUCAGAAAAGUUACCAUAGGGAUAACUAGCUUGUGGCACCCAAGCGUUCAUAGCGAUGUUGCUUUUUGAUCCUUAAAUGUCGGCUCUUCCUAUCAUUGUGAAGUAGAAUUCACCAAGUGUUUGAUUGUUCACCCCCCAAUAGGGAACGUGAGCUGGGUUUAGACCGUCGUGCCACAGGUUAGUUUUACCCUACUGAUGAUAGUGUCGCGAUAGUAAUUCAACCUAGUACGAGAGGAAUCAUUGAUUCACACAAUUGGUCAGCGCGCUUAGUUGAAAAGCCAGUGUCGCGAAGCUACCGUGUGCCGGAUUAUGACUGAAUGCCUCUAGGUCAGAAUCCAAGCUAGCAUGUGACCCCUGCGCCCGUUGCUUGCCUCGACCCACGUUAGGGGUGCUUGCGCCGCAACGGCUCGUGCCAUUGGCUAAGCCAGUCCGACCGACGUGAUGUGACCGGCCACCUCGAAGCUCCCUUCCCAAAGGGCGGUGGUCUAAAUC